rnacentral:rRNA from 1 species
CAACUCUUGACGGGGGAUCACUCGGCUCGUGGGUU